UGGCAUCGUUCCACUUCCCGUCGAAGCAGAGGCUGCCACAGUCCUCCCCUUGCUGCCCAACAUUGCUGGGUUCCCCGGACCCCCAGAACCUGAAAUGCAAACCGAAGCCCCAUGGAAUUAGAGGAGCAGCUGCCGCUGAACAUCCACUUCCGCUCCCAGAGUUUCCUCACCUCCAUGUACUCGUCAUCCUGGUUUCUCACCCUCUUCCUCACGACCUUCCCUUUGCCUGUUGCCACCCAAGUGUUUGACAUUUUCAUGUAUGAGGGGCUGGAGAUCGUCUUCCGUGUGGGGAUGGCCCUCCUGCAGUUCAACCAGGCAGAGCUGAUGCAGCUGGAUAUGGAGGGGAUGUCGCAGGAAACACAGAGAAUUCCCUGGACCACGCGCGGUGGGAGCACAUGCUGCUUCAGUUCCUAAGAACAUCUCUGGCGAUGAUAGACGACAGUGCCUGGAGCAGCCAGAUAAGCCUUGAGUUGAACCAGCAGAUGGCCAGCUAUACCAGCCCCUCCCAUGAGAAGUUCCCACAACCGGACAUCAGUUUCAGAGACCCCCAUCCCCUCCACUGGCAUGAUGUGUAGCUGACAGGAAAGCAGGACAGCCAUGCAGCAAAGGGCUGAGAUAGGCCAUUCACAGUAAGGCAUGGAGCUGAAGCCCAGGGUCAGACUCUGGGAGGGGUAACAGCCAUUUCAGCACAUCAGGGAUGGACUCAGAUGACUGAGAAAAAUGCCAAGUCUUGAGCCCACAUUCCCCAACAAUGACAAUAGACUCAUCCAAGACACUGCUGUGCACAGACCCAGGCUUGUAUAUAGGGGAAAUUUUCCAACAUUUACUCCAGGAGGAAUUUUGAGCCACAACGCAAUGCACAAAUUUAUUUCCUCCCCCCCUCACACACACACCCCACCGCCAGCAGAAUUAGCCAGCAGCUCUGCAGCACUGUCAGUAGCAGAUGCGGGACCAACCAGAGCCUGGCUCUCCAACUUGCAAAUACAUGACACUGCCAGGGGGACGGGGAGCUGGACUGUUCCAUGCAGGUGCAGUUCCCAGCAUGUCCUGAAGGAAGGAAGUGGCAUGCAGGAAACUCUGUACAAGCCUGGGACCCAGCAUCAGGCUGUUUCUCCCUCUCAGUGGCGUAGCCAGGUUCUAACAUCAG